ensembl:snRNA U7 U7 small nuclear RNA
AGGAAAUAUUGUUCUUUUAGUAUUUGUCUAGCAGAUCUUCAUAUAUUGAAGGCCCAC